rnacentral:rRNA from 1 species
GACGAACGCUGGCGGCGUGCUUAACACAUGCCAGUCGAACGGAAGGGCCCUGCUUGCAGGGUGCUCGAGUGGCGAACGGGUGAGUAACACGUGGGUGAUCUGCCCCUUACUUUGGGAUAAGCCUGGGAAACUGGGUCUAAUACUGGAUAGGACCAUGCUGUAGGUGGUGUGGUGGAAAGAUUAGUUUCGGUAAGGGAUGAGCUCGCGGCCUAUCAGCUUGUUGGUGGGGUAAUGGCCUACCAAGGCGUCGACGGGUAGCCGGCCUGAGAGGGUGGACGGCCACAUUGGGACUGAGAUACGGCCCAGACUCCUACGGGAGGCAGCAGUGGGGAAUAUUGCACAAUGGGCGCAAGCCUGAUGCAGCGACGCCGCGUGGGGGAUGACGGCCUUCGGGUUGUAAACUCCUUUCAGCCAUGACGAAGCCCUUGUGGUGACGGUAGUGGUAGAAGAAGCACCGGCUAACUACGUG